UACAGAGGUCCCAAGCGUUGUUCGGAUUCACUGGGCGUAAAGGGUGCGUAGGUGGUGAGGUAAGUCGGAUGUGAAAUCUCCGAGCUCAACUCGGAAAUUGCAUUGGAAACUACCUUGCUUGAGGGUUGGAGGGGGGACUGGAAUGCUUGGUGUAGCAGUGAAAUGCGUAGAUAUCAGGAGGAACACCGGUGGCGAAGGCGACAUCCUGGACCGGUAUUGACGCUGAGGCGCGAAAGCCAGGGGAGCAAACGGG
rnacentral:rRNA from 1 species